CCCAUUAGUCGUGCUCAGGUAGAGGCAUGCUGCUAAUAUGAGGGAACAGAGGAGUGAAAAAGGGAGAGGAGAGGUGAUUAAGGGAGUGCGAACAGGUGUGGAGGGAAGGUGCGUGGCUUGGGGUAAUUGGAAGCAAUUGGAGUCCAUGAUCCUUCACAACAUACUGAUAUCAAGUCAAGAGAAACAAGAUGAACCUGCUCACCCAGCAAACGGUGAUGCUUUGGCUCUCUGUUGCUCGCACACUCACAACUGCAGAGCUGGUGAAGCUAAGCACUGUUGACUCUGUCAUUGUGCCAUGUCACCAGCGUGUAACCCUCCGAUGUGACAUCACCACCUUCCAGGAGGGGCUGUCGAUCAAACAUCUGGCCUGGGUCCGCCAGGACGGCAAGCACCUGUGUGACGUUAACGGAACUGGAGUGACCGGGGCCCACUCAGGGAGCACACCUAGUACCAUGGAGUGUAGUUAUACCCCACAGACACAGCUGACCCUGACUCUGCUGCAGGUACAGCCACUGGAGCAGGGAAAGUACUUGUGCAAGCUACGCUCCAAUCACGGAGUAAAGGAGGCCACUACAACGGUGGAGCUGCAAGGCGAGUGUCCUAGCCCAUUCUCACUCGUGUAAUACUGUCAUAACCUAGACAUCUCAUGCAUGUAGUCCAAUGCCAUUGACCAGAGGAUGGUGGGAGGAGCUAUAGGAAGACUGGCUCAUUGUAAUGGCUGGAAUGGGAUAAAUGGAACGGUAGUCAUGUUUGAUUCUGUUCCAUUAAUUCCAUUCCAGCCAUUACGUUACAAUGAGCCAGUCCUCCUAUAGUGGACAUAGCUAAUGGACAUUGCCUAACCACCAGGAAGUACAAGGGACUUUACUGUGCCUCAACUGAGCAAAAUGUAUGACUAAUGGUGUCAGGGGGCUUACGGAACUGCAUUGCACCAUUUCAAGAACUCUCCAACCUCAGCCAUAUGCUUUGUGUUUACAUUUUUUAAAAUCUGUUCCCAUUCAGAGUGCUACAGGAAGGCCCAGCCCAGUGUCAGUGAUGAGGGCCCAACCUGCACCUUCACUGGGGUCUACCCUGAUGGAGAGGUGCACUGGUUCCAGGGACCCAACAACGUGACUGGGGACUCUACAAUCAACACUAAACAAGUGGAAGAUGGAGCGUCAUUGACUAUAACUAGUUCCCUGAAAAGAAAGACCGUCUCUGGGGAAGGGGCCUACAACUGCUCCCUGUGGAUCCCCAGUACCGGAGCCUACCUGACCAGCAGCUUAGUGGUACCAGAGCAUAGUAAAGCCAAGGUUGUGCAGCCCAAUGCCAGUGGGGCAGAGUCCAUUGGUCCUUUGUGGAAACCUUUUCUAUUCCUCCUGAGUACUCUCUUCCUGGUGUGAUGUCUUGUCAAUGUUUGUUUUCAAGCAAGUGGAUCAUUUAAUAAGAAUAUGGAAGAGCCAUUGUGUGAGGUUCCUUUCAUGGUCCAAAGGUUUCCUUGGCUGCGUAGAACAAGGAAAUGAUAACCUGAGGCUGGUAACCUGGUGCAAAUCAACCUAUUGUGAACGCACCCUUGUUGGUCUGCCAGUGCCAGAUGUCAAUUAGAUUGUUAAUUAAAAACAGCAAACGGCAGUAGAAACAAUAACAAAGCUUACUUCCUUCCCGUUUCGGUGAAAAGCUGAGGGAUGGGGCCGGAGAAAUGUAACCACUCUCAAAUUCAUAGACAGUGCUUUGGAUGCAUGGCCUGACCAUCGAUGAUAUCAAAAUAAAUAGUUUUAACAAUGUUUUGAGGCUAUGUAGUGUUUUAUUAAAUUGGAGUUAAACAAGCUUCUGAUGGGGUAAGACAGUUGCACUAAGCUCAUGAGGCAUUUAUAAGUUAUAUUCUUCAAGAAUGAAUGUGUACAUAUAUAAAAUUUAAAAAAUGAUGUAACAACUACUGUUUGCACCUUUAAGGGCGUGACCUUUUGUAGAAAAGCAUUCCUGUUUGCGUUAAUCAGAGAUCCCCCUUACUGUUCGGCGUGCUUUGGGCAGACAGGAGCGGUGGUUUAAUUGGGUUGAUUUUCUACGUUUGAUUGAAUGUGAGUUGUGCGAGAAACUUAUUGUUAGUAAUGAUGUCUGUGAGGUGAUAUUCCUGCUUAGGAUGGAUGUAAAUAAAUGGCUGCGUCCUGAUUAUUGUCUGAGUCCCAUGCUCCACUCCUUGACACAAAGAACCGGUGUAUUUUAGAUUUAGUCCUGAGGACCUCCUCUCGCCAAUAACAAAAAAAAAGUGAUGUAGGACUGCUACAGGAAUUGAACAUUUGUGUAAACUCUCCCGCACUACAUGCGGCGUAGUCCGGUAUCCCUAGUUGGGAGGUGUUACAUCUCGGC
ensembl:lncRNA